rnacentral:rRNA from 1 species
AACGAACGCUGGCGGCAGGUCUUAGGCAUGCAAGUCGAACGGAUGACAGAGAGCUUGCUCUCUGAAGUCAGUGGCGCACGAGUGAGUAACGCGUGGGAAACUGCCCUUCACUGGGGAAUAACGUUUGUAAACGAACGCUAAUACCGCAUACGCCCGCAAGGGGAAAGAUUUAUCGGUGAUGGAUGUGCCCGCGUUGGAUUAGCUAGUUGGUGGGGUAAUGGCCUACCAAAGCAGUGAUCCAUAGCUGGUCUGAGAGGACGAUCAGCCACGCUGGAACUGAGACACGGUCCAGACUCCUACGGGAGGCAGCAGCUAAGAUAUUGGGCAAUGGAGGAACUCUGACCAGCCAUGCCGCGUGAUGAAAAGCCUCCGGUUGUAAGUCUUUUAGUCAUGAAGAUGAUGACAGUAGUGACAGAAAAGCACCGCUACUUCUGCAGCAGCCGCGGUAAACAAAGGUGCAGCGUUGUCGAUUACUGGCGUAACGCCGUAGUGGUUGGUUUGUCAGGGUGAAUCCAGGCCACCCGACUCCUUUUAUUGACUGGCGUAGAAGAGAAUUGUGGGUGAUCGAAUUAUAAACUAGGCUUGUCCUACGAAGGAAUAUGCCACAGU